GAUGAACGCUGGCGGCGUGCCUAACACAUGCAAGUCGGACGGAGAGGACAUUUCGGUGUUCUCUCAGUGGCGCACGGGUGAGUAACACGUAGCUGACCUGUCCUGGAGCGGGGGAUAACGCCGCGAAAGCGGCGCUAAGCCCGCCUAAGCUCACGGUCUGUAGAGGGGUGUGAGAAAAACCGAAAGGUACUUCAGGAGGGGGCUGCGGCCCAUCAGGUAGUUGGUGGGGUAAGAGCCUACCAAGCCGACGACGGGUAGGGGGUCUGAGAGGGUGGUCCCCCACACUGGGACUGAGACACGGCCCAGACUCCUACGGGAGGCAGCAGUGAGGAAUAUUGGUCAAUGGCCGAAAGGCUGAACCAGCGACGCCGCGUGGGCGAUGAAGG
rnacentral:rRNA from 1 species